rnacentral:rRNA from 1 species
UACGUAGGUGGCAAGCGUUAUCCGGAUUUACUGGGCGUAAAGGGAGCGUAGGCGGACUUUUAAGUGAGAUGUGAAAUACUCGGGCUCAACUUGGGUGCUGCAUUUCAAACUGGAAGUCUAGAGUGCAGGAGAGGAGAAUGGAAUUCCUAGUGUAGCGGUGAAAUGCGUAGAGAUUAGGAAGAACACCAGUGGCGAAGGCGAUUCUCUGGACUGUAACUGACGCUGAGGCUCGAAAGCGUGGGGAGCAAACAGGAUUAGAUA